GAGGUUGUGGCUCAGUGCUUAAAGCGCUCACCACCCAUGUGCGAGGCCCUGGGUUCGAUCCUAAGCACCACA
rnacentral:tRNA from 1 species